GCCGGGCGUGGUGGCGCGCGCCUGUAGUCCCAGCUACUCGGGAGGCUGAGGCAGGAGGAUCGCUUGAGCCCAGGAGUUCUGGGCUGUAGUGCGCUAUGCCGAUCGGGUGUCCGCACUAAGUUCGGCAUCAAUAUGGUGACCUCCCGGGAGCGGGGGACCACCAGGUUGCCUAAGGAGGGGUGAACCGGCCCAGGUCGGAAACGGAGCAGGUCAAAACUCCCGUGCUGAUCAGUAGUGGGAUCGCGCCUGUGAAGAGCCACUGCACUCCAGCCUGGGCAACAUAGCGAGACCCCGUCUCUU
rnacentral:SRP_RNA from 1 species